UGAAUAUUUCUCAACUGUUAACAUUGAAAUCACUAACGUGACUGUCAGUCUAGCUUAUACAAUAUCAAUAUCUGUUUAAAUCUUUGAAAAUGUUUAUAAUUUUAAAAAAUUAUGUUGUACAUCUCUUAAUUUUAUCACGCACUUUCGCACAGCCAGUUGGUGGUAACGAUGGUGACAAUGAACAGGCAGUGCGAGAAGAAAUCGCUCCAGUGUUGAAAACAUUUGAAAAUUUUUUAAGUACUGUUGAUAAUGAUACAAGAUUAUUGCGGAAAGGAGAAUUUUUGGGUGAGCUAAUGUCACUGGGGAGGAAAGCCGUCAAGGCUGAUGAACUGUUGAUAAAUAAAGGAGCAGAAGCCAAGGCCAACGAAAUUUAUCGUAAAAUGUUCCGCCUGCUGGGUGUCUGCUCAAGGGUGGAAACGCUGGUCGAUGACUUAUAUCCUACUAGGAGACCAUUUCAUAUUGGUAUAGCCACAGCUUUUCAAGAAAUACUGACAUCCACUAAACCGGAAUUUGAAAACCGCAGCUGCAUCAAAAUAUUUCGUGAACGGGUUAUAUCUUAUGGUAUUUCCUUUGCAAAUUUUGUAGAUGGGAUUCGAUCGAUUUAUGGGAGUUUCAGUGAUACCCACAAAAUGUCUGGAUUCGAGCCGAAACUUCCAAAAUUUAAUGAUACAAAAGGUAUUGAACUAAUGUUUCAUGAUUUUGGUAUCACUCCCCAUGAUCACUUAGUUAAAACCACUCAAAUUAUUUUACAACCUCUGGUUUUGCCAAGUACCUCAGAUGUUUAAAUGCUAUAUACAUAUAAGUAUAUUUUGUGACAAAUAAAAUUUUUGUUGAUUGAUACAAAUUAUUACAUAAUUGGGUAAUUCUCAGAAAAAGGGUCGAUUUUGAUAUGCAUAAUUUUGAAAAACGAAAAUCAUUUUUUUGGAAAAUUUCAAGUGGGAAUCAUUUGUAUAUGUGUCCCAGAUCCCUUUUCCAGUGUUGGCCUCAAUUCAAUCCCCCCCACUGUGGACCCCGCCCCCUAAAACGGCGAUAAUUAGAAUUCGACCCUCAUCGAUGUGUAAUAUGUCGAUUGACAUGUUUUUAAGGUCGUAGAAUUCGAAUCUGGAGUUAUUUUUUUUGUAGAGGUGGAGGGUGAGGCGUGGGGAGGGGAAAAUGUCAAAUUUUGCUUAUACAGUAAAAGCUCGUUAUAACGCUUUCGGUUAUAACGCUGAUUUCGUUAUAACGCUGAUUUCCUCUGGUCCCUUGACAACCCCAUUUAAACCAAUGUAAAAUUAAUCGCGAUAUAACGCUCAUAAGCGAUUAUAAAUCGCGUUAUAA